AUUAAUUAGCUGCAGCUAUAACCUUGAGGCAAACUGCUAUGAAGGCCAAUAUAUAGUGUCCAAAAGGUAGUCCAAGUAAAGCUUAGCUCAGGACCUUUCCCGUAAAGUGGCAUUCCCCUCUUCUCAGUAAUCAUAGGCUCUCUAUGGUCUCAUGGUAAUGAAAAGGAAAGAAAUCCAUGUCUUAAAAAACCUCAGGAGAUUUGAUUCCCAUUGACAUUAAGAGAACAGUUGAUGUGACAGCUCAACUAUUUCACAAAAAUAAUAACAUCUAUAUCCUAAAAAAGGAAGCCAAACAAAGGAUGUAGGAUUUCAUUGUAAAGAAGAACAAUAGCUAUAAAUAUCAAAACUCUAUCAUCAUGGUAAAAUGGUAGACGUUUAUUCUUUGUUCUAAAUGGCAAAUAUAACAGUAUGGUAUAGCCCUCUUUUUAGGUCUGCUAACAUGGAUAAUACUAAGUUUGAGGUAGAAAGAAUGCUAUCCUAGGAGUUCUAGGUGGAAUUAUUAGUCAUUCCAAAUAUGGAGGGACACUUCAAGUGGGUCGUAUUACAAGGAGCAGAUACAGUAGAAUAUUAGCUGGCCAAUUGAAAUAGAAGGUGAAGAAAAAAAAACAGAGCAGAAGAAAUAUUUGAAGUAAUAAUGGAUGACAAUUUUCCAAAAGUAACAACACACACCAAAUACAAAUCCAAGGAGCUCAGAGAAUACCAAGGAGGAUAAAUAUCAAAUUCUACGCUUAGACAUAUAUUAUUCAAACUGCAGGAAAGCAAAGACAGAGACAUCUUGAAAGGAGGCCAAAGGUGAACAAAACACCUUACCUAGAGAGAAAUAAAGACAAGAAUUACAUGGACUGCUCAUCAGAAACUGUGCAAGAAAGAAGAGAGUGGGGUAAAAUAUUCAAAGAGUUUACAGUAAGGAAAAUUAUCCAAAUCUAGAUUUCUGUAUUCAGUGAAAUUAUCCUUCAGUGGUGAAGAAGAAAUAAAGACAUUUUCAGACAAACUAAAACUAAGGAGCUUCAUGGCCUUUUAAGUAAUGUUAAAAGAAGUUCUUCAAGGAGAAGAAAAAUUAUAUAGGUAAGAAACUGCAUCUGCAUAAAGAAAAGAAGUGUAUCAUAGGAGGAAUAAAUGAAAAAUAAAAUCUUUUAUUUUCUUACUCUAAAUUGAUCAACAAAAAUGUAUUGGGUGAUUAAAGCACAAAAAUAAAUGAAAUAAAUGUCAACAAUGUCAUAAAGAAUGGGAGGGAGGAAUUGGGAAUACAUACUCUGUUAUAAGAUACCUACACAAUGUAUGAAGUGAUAUUUGUGUUAUUUUAUUUAUUCGAAGUAUUAUUUGAAGGUGGACUGAGAUUAGCUAACAACAUAUAUUGCAAACCCUAAGGGAACCACUAAAAAAAUGUUUUUUAAGUAUAAUUGACAUUCUAAGAGAGGAGAUACAGUGGAAUCAUGAAAUGUCAGUUAAAACCAGAGAAGACAGAAAAAGAGGGAUAGUGGCAAAGAACAAAU
rnacentral:lncRNA from 1 species